CCGGCCCCCUGCCGGCCCCCUGCCGGCCCCCUCCCGGGAGAGGUGGUCACCUAAACACCAGCUCCCUCUUUGCCAGCAGCUUCUCAAGUCAGCAUUUGGAGCUGCUCCCAGCCUCUGCAGCCUACCGUGGAGUUAACACCCACCCAUACGGCCUGAAGUUCACAAUUCCCUGGGUCUGGCAGAGGUCUCACGUUGGGAGACAGGCAGCAAAUAUUGUGACUCACGGCAGACAGAGUAGCUGCUGUGGUCUGCGCCUGUGCUCUCUGUUGGGGAGGAUUUUCUCCUGGUGGACGGCUAGAAGCCUGUCGAGUUAGGGGAGCUGGCUGUGGGUCGGCACACAGUCGGGCCCCCGCUGGCCAUCCCAGGGUGCUUGGGCCAGCCCCUUUGCCUCUCCAGGGCUCCGUUUUUCUUUCAGCUCCCUGGCAAGAGCUUUUGGUAAGGCGCCUAGCUCGGGGUAGGUGCCGAGCAGGCACCCCCUUCCCCAGCCCUUGCUGAAAGCUGGUCGGGUCCAGCCCCUUGACUGUCUCUUAGCACCCUACUGUGUGCCAGGCCCAGUCACUGUCUUAGAUGAGGAAACGGAGGCCCAGAGGGGUAAAGCAACAUGCCUACAAUAUGUUUGUACCCUAAUUCCCAGGCCACAGUCACAUUUCCUCCUAAUUGUCCCCCAAAUGUCCAGGAUCCUGUCCGGGACCACACAUCUGGCUGUUAUGGCCCUAAAUUCUCCCCCCCCCCCCUUUUUUUUUUUCUCCAUAACACGGUUUACUCGAGGCCUGGCCGGCUAUCCUGCAGAACGUCCCAUCGUCUGCAUUGUCCAUCAGAGUCCAGCCCCUCCCGGUGGCUCCGUCAGCUCCUGAAUUGCUAACAGCCGGCCUUCCUGAGCACCUGCUAUACGCCCAGCGUGGUGCGUGGUGCUGUUUGCCUUAUCCCUGUGAACCCGCUUGGGUCAGUGAGAUAAAGAUGCUGAGGCUCAGCGAGAUGAGGUGAUGUGCCCGAGGCCAGCCAGCUGGACACCAGUCACACGGGAUCAGGGCCCACGCUGAUGACCUGAUCUUACCUCGAUGACAUCUGCUGUGACCAAAUAAGGUCACAUUCACAGGUACCAGGGGUCAGGGCUUCGCCGCGUCUUUUGGUGAGGGACACAACGGAACGCCUAACACUCUGAAGGGCAGGCAUUUUCCCGGUUCACGUCUGCAGCUCCCAGCCCUCGCCCAGAGCCCGGUGCGUGUCAGCACUCAGAGCGGGAGGUCACGGGACGAACAAUGAGCCGAUGGAGUCGAGGCGUCCAGCCUCUCCUCCGUGCUGACCCCCACUCCUCUGACAACGCAGCAGCCCCAGCCCAGCCGGCAUCUGGGCCACACAGGUCUCCAGGGCCGCCUUUCCCGUGGGUUGUUCUCUGGAAGAAGUGGUGUUGAUGUCAGCAGAUGCCUGUCACUUUCCUUCCCCAGCAAAAUCUCAACUGUCAGAGUAAGUGAAAUAGUCAUUGCCUAUCCCCGCGUUUGAGAUUUUAUUGACAGUUUCAUUGUCACCCAAAAAAACCUCCUUUUCUCCGUUGGCAUUUUUAUCAGGUGAUUCUGGGGGCAGGAGGGGGAUGAAGGGCUGGCUCCUGAAAACGGGUUUUGGCAGGUGGUGGGGGCUGGUUCCCCGGCCUGGGGGCAGCGCGGGCAGAAGACCCCCACGGUGGGCUCCACCGUGCCUCGGCUCCCGCCAAAAACUGCUGGGUACCCUGUCCAGGGGGCAGGAGGGAAGUGAGAGAUUGGGGGGCCCCUGGAAAUAGCCACGGUGGCCGAACGGGGCUGCCCAGUUUGGUGGGUCUUUAGGUCCCUCUCCUGCCUUCCCCAGUGGGCACUGGGGAGGCAUCCGGGGGCUGGGGUGAGAGCAUUCAGAAUCAGACCACGUGGGUGCAGUUCUCAGCUCAGCGAUAUGUACUUUAGGGCAAGUACUUUGCCCCACCGAUCCUCAGUGACCCCAUCUGUUAAAUGGGGGUAGUAGCAGGUAAAUUCCAUUGGCUGAGGCUUCUUUGGACUGAGUACCCAUUACCUGGUUCGGUAGGUAUCAGCUCACCAGAAUCCAGACAGCCGGAUGCCCUCAGGAUCUUCACUUUAAUGGUGCAGAGAGGCAAGGUGGCCCGGCCAAGGCCGGCCACCUCAGCUGGGAGGUGGCGAGAAUGGUUUGAACCCAGAAUGUGAGCCUCCCAGCUCACCCGUGACUCCACCUCGUAGGAUUUGUGGCAGAGUGCAGGCACCCAGGAAAAAGCUGUUUGCUGUUCUGAUCGUCAUUGUUGUCAUUGUUGUCGAAUGGGCCCCUCGGCAGCCACCCUGUCCCUGGAGCUCGUGGGUGGGUGUUGGCCCAGGGGACGUGGAACGCGCUCAGGGGUUGCACGGGGGCCGGGGACCCAGCCAGAAGUUCCACCCCGCUCUGUGCCAUGACCCCUUCUGCGUCCCCCCUCCCCGGCCCCCAGCAGUGCUGCAGGUGGGACGGUCAGUUACCAAGCGGGCAAGGGCAGCUGGCUAGGGUGGCAACCCCAGGCCUUGCAAAGCUGCUUCGCCGCAUCCAAGCUGCGCAGAUGGGAAACGAGGCCCGGAGAGCCGCCCCUGCCUGGGGCUGCCCAGCCAGGCAGGUGACUACAGCAGUGAAGUUAAAACAACGGAUUCUCGAGUCAACUGGAUCUGAGUUUGAGUUCUGCUGCGCCCACUGUGCCUGGGACGAGUCUCGCUGGGGCGCAGCUUCCUCCUCUGUCCAGUGAGGAAAUAGAAGUGCCCCUCCCAGAGGGGGGCAAGACCUCGAUGACGCUGCACAGAAAUUAGCACAACGGGGCGCCUGGGUGGCUCAGUCCGUUAAGCGUCCGACUUCGGCUCAGGUCAUGAUCU